GGGAGAACCUCUACCGGAGGGAAAGGGAAAAACCCUUUAAACUGAUACUGGAGGACGGCAGUCAGUUCCUGUUUGCAGCGUCCAGCAGAGACCUGCAGCUGCUCUGGGGGGAAGAAACUCCAAAAGGCUCAGAAUCUACCAGCAGCGACUCUGACGACUCUAGGGAGAGCGUAUCGGUCAACACUGAGUUGGAGAAGUUGGCGAGGGGAUCGGACGAUCCGUCUCCGACCAAACUGCUGUACCAGAGACCUGAGAGCAGGGGGAGAGUGACAGUGUCACGGAGGGAAAGUUGUCCAUGGAGGGAAAGGCUCUCCAAACCUCCUAACACGUUAUUACAACAAAC